AGCUGGCAGCGGGCGCUGUCACCAGCUCCCACCCAGCAGGGCCUCUGGGCACUUCUCACAGUUGCAGCUGUUGCCCAGCGAGUGCCAUGCCUGCUUCUGCGUCGACAGUUCCCAUUGGCUCCUGGCGGCACGAGUCCCCAGAGGCUCUGGCUCCAGUGCUCUGGUGGGGCGCCCAGCGCUGUCCUCAGGGGGGCACGGGAGGGUCUCAGGGCUCUUCGGCCCUUGGACACUGGUCAUGUGUGAGCUCGGGCUGCUCCGCGGGGCCCCUCAGCCCGUCCCUGCCCAGACUGUGGCGAUGGGCACCUUGUUGUCAGGCUCUUCUGAUGAAUAUCAUUCAUUUGUUCGUUCGUUCGUUCAUUCAUUCAACAGCUGCUCACCGAAUCUCAGAAAUGUGCCAGCCACUGCCAGGCAGCAGGGACUUCCAAAGGAAUUUACGAACUGGCGGAGCCUCUGAAGAGAAGACUAGUACGAAAGAUCCAGCGUAAAAGCGAAGCGAACCAACCAUGAAGUCGGUUAGGCCACGCCAGGAAUGUGCCGGAUGAACCAUGGAGUGCGGAGGAGCAGAGCUGAGCCCCCUCCGAGACCCUCUCCGUGUGGGUGUGCGCGGAGGGGUGAGGCCCAGCCCCGCGUUGGGAACGGGCUGGGGGAGCGAGAAGAGCCUGCUCCGGGCCCAGAUGCAGGGGCGGCCCGCGAGCUUCAGCAUCGCCAGCACCAAGUUUCCAGGCACAGACAUCGUGGGAGCCAGAGCCGGACAGGGAGACAGGGUCCUGUCGUGAUGGGCAUGAUUGCAAAGAACCGGGCAAUCAUGGGGAAUAGACCACCUGGCGAUGGAGACCUACCUGAAGCUGGAGGUGCCUCUGCAGGAACCCAGCGACCACACGCCAGGAUGGCUCGGACUGUGGGCAAGACGGGGCUGGUGGGUGCCAACUCCCGGACUCUGUGAUGGUCAGUUAUGUUAUUACACAAUUAAGCCAUGUAAAUAGAUAGUGACACGCAGGUCAACUGUACAAAUAUUAGACAUAGAUUCAAUGAAAGAUGUAGAUUAGGUAUCCCUGCUAAUACAAGAGCAUUUGGUGUGGCGCCAAGUCCAGAGUGAAAAUAUAUGAGUUUGUAUGCGCAGAGAUUAA